GAUGAAGAACGCAGCGAAAUGCGAUACGUAAUGUGAAUUGCAGAAUUCAGUGAAUCAUCGAGUCUUUGAACGCACAUUGCGCCCCCUGGUAUUCCGGGGGGCAUGCCUGUCCGAGCGUCAUUGCUGCCCUCAAGCACGGCUUGUGUGUUGGGCCUCCGUCCUCCUCCCGGGGGACGGGCCCGAAAGGCAGCGGCGGCACCGCGUCCGGUCCUCGAGCGUAUGGGGCUUCGUCACCCGCUCUUGUAGGCCCGGCCGGCGCUUGCCGACACAUCAAUCUUUUUUCCAGGUUGCCCUCGGAUCAGGUAGGGAUACCCGCUGAACUUAAGCAUAUCAAUAAGCGGAGGA
rnacentral:misc_RNA from 1 species